rnacentral:lncRNA from 1 species
CUCUGGGCCAGGGGAACAGCCAGCCUGUGUAGAUCAGCCCAUUAAGCCAAGCGUGCCCAGCCACCUCCUUUGCACUGACGGUAAUUAAACGUUUCUCUGCUCACUUAAUUGAGGCUGUGACGGCUCUGAAUCAGACAUCUGCCUGGUGGCUCCCGCUAAGGUGGCAGCCAAGUGGGCCAGACCAAGGCGCAGAGCCACCAGGGCUGGGGGAAUCCCACGGGGCGCUGCCGCCAGUUUGCAGCCGGGCUUGGUCCCUUCCCCUCCCGGAGACUCGGUUUCCUUCUCCGCAAGGGAUUGAGGGAAAAGAGAAAGCUUUUCCCUGGCCUGGGAAAGCUUCCUAGGGGAGGCUGGUGGGUCUCUAAGGCUCAUUUGAAUUUAUGUUAAUGACAUCAUUAGAAAGCAAGCUCCCCGAGGGCAAGGGCUGCGGGCUUUCGUCUGGAAAUACCCCAAACUUCAUCUGAUUUUUUGUAAAAUGACUCUCACUUUCCCCAAGGGAUGGUUUGCUUCUGGUGUGAGAGUGAGAGCCAAUUCUUACUGGAGAAUAGCUUGUGUUUUGUCUCUUUUCCUUUGGGAUUAUCGGUAUCUGAACUUUGCUCUCUCUCUAGAGAUUUUAUUUGAGCUGUUCUUUUGAUGAGUAAAUUAGGGGUUAGACCUUUGUGAGCAGAAAAAUAAGCUAGAAAUCUGCUGUGCUCCAUGGCAUUGUCCAAUCGGCUACAUUAAAAACACACACACACACACAAAAAAAACCAAUUUUUUUUAAUUAAAAAAUAAAAUAUUUUUUAUUCCCCUACAUUAAAGAAAGAAAAUGUAAUUACAUUGUAUAAUAGUUUAUAAUAAAGUUUGACACUUUAUUACCAAUUAAAAAAAACAAAUAAAAUACCCAAUGCUUUUCACUAUAUAUAUAUAUAUAUUUCACUCCAUAUAUUGAUUUCCUUCUAUUUUCAAUGUGAAGGAGGUGGGGAGAUAGGAAAGAGGGAGGAAGGGAAACUCAAAGUCUUCUUUUUUUUUUUAUUGUUAAAAAUUGUUUUUACACAUGAUAGGGAGAAAAUAAAAUAAGUAAAAGAUUUUUAAAAGAUAAAUGGAUACAUGCCCUAUAUCGAGAGAUUUAAGAAAACCAGAAGAACAUGGAACAUAGUAUUUAUCAGAUUUUUGGACACGUGAACAAUUUAUGAAUAAACAAGAGAUGGAGCAAAGUUAGGCAGAAAACGGAUAAUUUCAAUUACAUGAAAAUUUUAAAAGAUUUUGUACAAAUAAAGCAAAUGUUGCCGAGAUCCGAAGGAAAACAGGAAAUUGUGGGGGAAAGUUAUAGUUUCUUAAAUCUCAAAUAUGUAAAGAACUCUAUCAAAUGUGUAAGAAUACAAGUCAUUUCCUAAUUGAUAUAAUGGUCAGAGGAUAUAAACAGGCAGUUUUCCAG